rnacentral:rRNA from 1 species
CCUACGGGUGGCAGCAGUGAGGAAUAUUGGUCAAUGGGCGCGAGCCUGAACCAGCCAAGUAGCGUGAAGGAUGACUGCCCUACGGGUUGUAAACUUCUUCUAUAAAGGAAUAAAGUGAGGCACGUGUGCCUUUUUGUAUGUAUUUUAUGAAUAAGGAUCGCCUAACUCCGUGCCAGCAGCCGCGGUACUACGGAGGAUCCGAGCGUUAUCCGGAUUUAUUGGGUUUAAAGGGAGCGUAGAUGGGUUGUUAAGUCAGUUGUGAAAGUUUGCGGCUCAACCGUAAAAUUGCAAUUGAUACUGGCAGCCUUGAGUACAGUUGAGGUAGGCGGAAUUCGUGGUGUAGCGGUGAAAUGCUUAGAUAUCACGAAGAACUCCGAUUGCGAAGGCAGCCUACUAGACUGCCACUGACAUUGAUGUUCGAAAGUGUGGGUAGCAAACAGGAUUAGAUACCCUAGUAGUC